UUAAGUCGGUGACGCCUCAGUCGAAUCCCACACAAAACAAACAAACGCGUCAACGAAGGCGGCUUCUCUCGUCUCGUCUCUGCUUUUCUCCUUUCGCUUUCGCUUUUCGUGUCGCCGCCGGUAAGGCAAUUCGAUACCUCUGAACCCUAACCAGACGCAGCCACCGUUUUGGGUUUCCAUCCCCCUCUCAUACUUUGCCUGAUUGCUUUCAUGUUUCGUUUCUCUCUUUUCAUUUCAAUUUUUAUACGGUUCGCCGUUGAUUGUAUCGAGCAAAAAAGUAAAGAAAAUUAUAAUUGAUUUUUGUCUUGUGGUUUUUUUAUUGAUUGAUUAGGGUUGUGUGAAUCAUUGAAAAAAAUAUUGAAUCCUCCGUUCUGAUUUUUUUGGAGGGUUAGGGUUUGGAAAUUUGGGGAUUUUUUAGGGUUUGGGUUUGAUAUACGUUUCUCUUCGAUUCUUAAUUGCUUAUUGAGAGGACUUGUGCUUGUGCUUGUCAAUCACAUGGCGGCAGGGCGAAAAAGUGUUUCCCUGAGAAGAGAAUUUUGCAAAUAUGGUUCCACCAAGGGGUUUGAUCACCAUACGAAUGGUUCUUUCGGCGUGGAAGUGGGUGGUUCUCGCAACCAUCACUUCGCUUGUUCAGGAGAGACGCGGUUCCAUGUUGAAAAAGAGGAAGGUGAGAUUUGUGUUGAACACGAGCUUGCCCCUGUGGUGCCACCGCCAGAGAAGAGAAGAAAGUUUUCUCCAAUCAUAUGGGACCUAGCAGAGAAGGAAGAAAGAGUCUCUUCAAAGAGUGGGAUCUUGCAGAUUGCUGCUCUGUCUCCUCCUUGUCCAUUUCUAUCUAGCAGUCCUGGAGCCAAUGGUGUUGAUUGUGGGGAUGUUAUGGAGGAGCCUUUGACAGAUUCGGGAAGCUACCCACACGAUUUGGAGGAAGACAAAGAUGUGCAAGGAUGGACAAUCACAAAGUCAAGAUGGGCUUGUGAUGUUCGUCCCUCACCAAGAGGUGCUGAUGAUGAACAGAAGCACGGCAAAGUGAGCUCCAGUCCUGAAAUUGGUGAAUUCCAUGGCGGUGGAACUUCAGAGAGCACAAUCACUAGAUCAUCAGGAAGUAGUGGUAGAGAUCAUUAUUUGGGUGCUUCUUCUGAUGACACUGAUUCUGAAAAGGACUUCCUUAUGGACUCCAUGGUCAAUGUUGAGGAACAAAGUGAUGAUGGUGAUUCUCCAUCAGAUUCUGAUGAGUGUGGUGGAUUGAUGCAUGUGCUGAGAAACAUAAACAUGCUUCAGAGUUGCAGAAGUGUGUGUGAGUUUGAGAUGAUUAAGAAAAUAAACGAAGGAACUUAUGGUGUUGUCUACAAGGCUAGGGAUAAGAAGACUGGAGAACUAGUAGCAUUGAAGAAGGUGAAGAUGAACAUAGAGAGGGAUGGAUUUCCAAUGUCAUCCUUGAGAGAAAUAAACAUUCUCUUGUCUUUUAAUCAUCCCUCCAUUGUGAAUGUUAAAGAAGUAGUUGUUGAUGAUUUUGAUGGUACUUUUAUGGUAAUGGAGCACAUGGAGUAUGACCUGAAGGGGCUGAUGGAGGUUAAGAAGCAUCCCUUUAGCAUGAGUGAAAUUAAAUCCUUGGUACGGCAACUUCUUGAAGGUGUCAAGUAUCUCCAUGAUAAUUGGGUUAUCCAUAGGGACUUGAAAUCAUCAAACAUCCUGCUGAACCAUGAUGGGGAGCUUAAAAUAUGCGACUUUGGGUUGUCAAGGCAGUAUGGAAGCCCGCUGAAGCCAUAUACUCCUGUUGUGGUUACACUAUGGUACAGAGCACCUGAACUUUUGCUGGGUGCUAAAGAAUACUCAACUGCAAUUGACAUGUGGUCAGUGGGUUGCAUAAUGGCUGAAUUAAUUGCCAAGGAACCUCUGUUCAGGGGUAAAAGUGAACUUGAACAACUUGAUAAGAUUUUUCGAACCCUGGGUACGCCUGAUGAGAAAAUUUGGCCAGGAUUAUCCAAAUUACCUGGGGCUAAAGCAAAUUUUGUUAAGCAACUGUUUAAUACACUAAGGAAGAAGUUUCCAGCUGCGUCGUUUAUUGGUUUGCCAGUUUUAUCUGAGCUUGGAUUUGACUUGUUGCAGCAGCUGCUAACUUAUGACCCUGAAAAGAGGAUAACAGCAGAAGAUGCUCUCCUUCAUGAUUGGUUCCAUGAAGCCCCUCUUCCCAAAUCUGAUUUCAAGCCAAUUUUUCCUUCUUGGCAGUGAUAGGACAGGUACUCUUGCUGGAUGCAUGAAAUACCAAGAACAAUGCUAUUUUUACUGUCAUUAUUUCCAACUUUGUCUUCCUUGUUGAUGAUCAUAUACAAAGAAUGAUAUAUGAUUGCAAGGAACAGGGUAAUGGACUUCAUUAGGCUCUUGUUUGUUAUAAAUUAGAUUAGAAGCAGCAAAUUGAUGUAUAGAUCUGAGAAGGUAUGACAUUACCCGACUUUUUUUUCCUUUACUAAAACAAAUGUAUCCUCUCUUGUGCUGGUGAAAAUCAUGUACAUACAUUUCAGGACUAUUUAGUAAUAGAUGAUGGAUUUUUGCUCUGGUAUGUUGUUUUCCUUCCUGUACCAUCUAUUUCCAUUUACAAUGGUUUGUUCCUAUCCUUUUAGCUGCCCCAUUAAAUUGGGGGCUAUCAAGACUUGUUCUUUUUUCUCCUACAUUUAAUCUUUACAACAGGAAAUGCUCCUGAAAAUUUUGGCUUCAUUGAUGCACAAGCAUUGGUAGCUGUUGGAUGUGUAGAAAAAUAAAUCAAUUGCAAGGAAUAUUCAUUUUGAGCAUGGUCAGCAGGUAAUGAUGUUAGGUUUCUCAAUUUGAAAGUGGUUCCCUGAAAUAAAAUGAUAGUGUUGUUGGCUUUUAUUAAUAAUGUCUCUUUUUUCACACUUCCAUAUUAUGUUGCUCAACAAAAUAAAAGGAUCUAAAUUCUUUUUUACUGUACAAGUUCAAUUUGAAACUUUUGAUAUACAGUAACUGUCAGCAAGAUAACGUGAUGUAAUCUUCAUGGUUAUGCUAUCGAGUUUUGUUCCUUUUUUGCCUACAUUUAAUUUUUACACCAGGAAAUGCUCUUUUAAAAAUUUUGGGUGCAUUGAUGUGCCAAGCAUUGAUAGUUGUUGGACUUGUAGAAAAAUAAAUCAAUUGCAAGCAAUACUCAUUUUCAACAUGGUCAACAGAGGUGGAAUUAUGAGUUUAGGCAGUGGAUUGCAUGUUGAACUAUGGUGAAGCAGGGUUUAGAAGCUUGUGGAGCUGCUGAGAAAAGAGACACAGGCUGUUACAUAGAUGGCGAAGUCCACCAAGGGUGCUGAAGUGAAAUUUGCGCUCAAUUUGUGCCUUCUUAACACUGCAAUUGGUGUAAUAAUUUGAUGAAGUUCAAGGGAAGUAGCCUCUUGUAAUGAGGAGAUUUUUGUUUUUUGUAUUGAAAAUCCUGUGGUGAUGAAUAAUUUAUAUCCCUUAAUUACAGUGGGGUCUUGUGGAGGCUGGUGAAGAAAUAUUGAAGCUAUGGAGUACUAUUUUGUUCGUUUGAACAAGACGUAUAUGAUUUGAUUUGUGUAUAAUUCUAAUAAUUCAGAAUCCAACAGAAAUCUACCAUCCCCCCAUGGAUAACCUAAAACAUACCCAAGUAGUGAACCUUGCAAGCGCUGAGCACUACGUAGCUGAUAUUUGAUGUUAGCUAUCCAGCACUUGGGUUUCAGUUAAAAGGUUUGCAAUCAGUUCUCAAGCACUGGUUGUCAAACAAAGGGAUUUUAUUUUUAUUCGCUAUAAAAUUAGUAUGUCUUUUACACUCUUUGCAUGUAGUGUCUUGUAUAACGUCAUUUUUGUGUGCAAAAUGUAAAGUGAUGGAUGGCUAAAAUUCAUUGGUCUUUGUAACGAAUGUUCAACUUGCCAGUCGAACUCAUUGUCAGGGAGAAGCUAAUUAUUCCAAAAAUUACAAUUUUCAGGUUA